rnacentral:rRNA from 1 species
CCUACGGGAGGCAGCAGUGGGGAAUCUUGCGCAAUGGGCGAAAGCCUGACGCAGCAACGCCGCGUGCGGGAUGAAGGCCUUCGGGCUGUAAACCGCUUUCAGCAGGAACGAAAAUGACGGUACCUGCAGAAGAAGGAGCGGCCAACUACGUGCCAGCAGCCGCGGUGACACGUAGGCUCCAAGCGUUGUCCGGAUUUAUUGGGCGUAAAGAGCUCGUAGGCGGUCUAAUAAGUCGGGUGUGAAAACUCUGGGCUCAACCCGGAGACGCCAUCCGAUACUGUUAUGAACUUGAGUUCAGGAGGGGAGCGGGGAAUUCCGUAGUGUAGCGGUGAAAUGCGCAGAUAUUAGGAGGAACACCGGUGGCGAAGGCGCCGCUCUGGACUGAAACUGACGCUGAGAGCGAAAGCAUGGGUAGCAAACAGGAUUAGAUACCCUGGUAGUCCAUAGACGUAACGGACGGCGACUAGUAGUGGUUACGUAACUAACGUAACGUACCGCGCCGUCGACUACGCAUAAGUCGCCCGCCGUCGGGUAGGUACGGUCGCGAACGAACGUAAACGUUAAAGGUAAGUAGUAACGGUCGUAGUUAGACGUAGCGAGGACGACGACGAGGAGGAGGAG